UGGGGGGGGCUAACCAUGCAAGUCGAGCGGUAGCACAGAGAGCUUGCUCUCGGGUGACGAGCGGCGGACGGGUGAGUAAUGUCUGGGAAACUGCCUGAUGGAGGGGGAUAACUACUGGAAACGGUAGCUAAUACCGCAUAAUGUCGCAAGACCAAAGUGGGGGACCUUCGGGCCUCAUGCCAUCAGAUGUGCCCAGAUGGGAUUAGCUAGUAGGUGGGGUAACGGCUCACCUAGGCGACGAUCCCUAGCUGGUCUGAGAGGAUGACCAGCCACACUGGAACUGAGACACGGUCCAGACUCCUACGGGAGGCAGCAGUGGGGAAUAUUGCACAAUGGGCGCAAGCCUGAUGCAGCCAUGCCGCGUGUGUGAAGAAGGCCUUCGGGUUGUAAAGCACUUUCAGCGGGGAGGAAGGCGUUGAGGUUAAUAACCUUAUCGAUUGACGUUACCCGCAGAAGAAGCACCGGCUAACUCCGUGCCAGCAGCCGCGGUAAUACGGAGGGUGCAAGCGUUAAUCGGAAUUACUGGGCGUAAAGCGCACGCAGGCGGUCUGUCAAGUCGGAUGUGAAAUCCCCGGGCUCAACCUGGGAACUGCAUUCGAAACUGGCAGGCUAGAGUCUUGUAGAGGGGGGUAGAAUUCCAGGUGUAGCGGUGAAAUGCGUAGAGAUCUGGAGGAAUACCGGUGGCGAAGGCGGCCCCCUGGACAAAGACUGACGCUCAGGUGCGAAAGCGUGGGGAGCAAACAGGAUUAGAUACCCUGGUAGUCCACGCCGUAAACGAUGUCGAUUUGGAGGUUGUGCCCUUGAGGCGUGGCUUCCGGAGCUAACGCGUUAAAUCGACCGCCUGGGGAGUACGGCCGCAAGGUUAAAACUCAAAUGAAUUGACGGGGGCCCGCACAAGCGGUGGAGCAUGUGGUUUAAUUCGAUGCAACGCGAAGAACCUUACCUGGUCUUGACAUCCACAGAACUUAGCAGAGAUGCAUUGGUGCCUUCGGGAACUGUGAGACAGGUGCUGCAUGGCUGUCGUCAGCUCGUGUUGUGAAAUGUUGGGUUAAGUCCCGCAACGAGCGCAACCCUUAUCCUUUGUUGCCAGCGGUUAGGCCGGGAACUCAAAGGAGACUGCCAGUGAUAAACUGAGAAGGUGGGGAUGACGUCAAGUCAUCAUGGCCCUUUACGACCAGGGCCUACACCAC
rnacentral:rRNA from 1 species